GCUUCCUUGGCUCAGUUGGCUAGAGCGCAGGUCUCAUACAUAAAAGUAUGCAACUCUUUGGGAGUCCUGAUCCUGAGGUCGCAAGUUCGAGCCUUGCAGGGAGCA
rnacentral:tRNA from 1 species